rnacentral:rRNA from 1 species
GGCGGCGAGUGGCGAACGGGUGAGUAAUAUAUCGGAACGUGCCCAGUAGCGGGGGAUAACUACGCGAAAGCGUGGCUAAUACCGCAUACGCCCUACGGGGGAAAGGGGGGGAUCGCAAGACCUCUCACUAUUGGAGCGGCCGAUAUCAGAUUAGCUUGUUGGUGAGGUAAAGGCUCACCAAGGCCGCGAUCUGUAGCUGGUUUGAGAGGACGACCAGCCACACUGGGACUGAGACACGGCCCAGACUCCUACGGGAGGCAGCAGUGGGGAAUUUUGGACAAUGGGGGAAACCCUGAUCCAGCCAUCCCGCGUGUGCGAUGAAGGCCUUCGGGUUGUAAAGCACUUUUGGCAGGGAAGAAAAGGCGCCGGAUAAUACCUGGCGCUGAUGACGGUACCUGCAGAAUAAGCACCGGCUAACUACGUGCCAGCAGCCGCGGUAAUACGUAGGGUGCAAGCGUUAAUCGGAAUUACUGGGCGUAAAGCGUGCGCAGGCGGUUCGGAAAGAAAGAUGUGAAAUCCCAGAGCUUAACUUUGGAACUGCAUUUUUAACUCCCGAGCUAGAGUAUGUCAGAGGGGGGUAGAAUUCCACGUGUAGCAGUGAAAUGCGUAGAGAUGUGGAGGAAUACCGAUGGCGAAGGCAGCCCCCUGGGAUAAUACUGACGCUCAUGCACGAAAGUGUGGGGAGCAAACAGGAUUAGAUACCCUGGUAGUCCACGCCCUAAACGAUGUCAACUAGCUGUUGGGGCCUUCGGGCCUUAGUAGCGCAGCUAACGCGUGAAGUUGACCGCCUGGGGAGUACGGUCGCAAGAUUAAAACUCAAAGGAAUUGACGGGGACCCGCACAAGCGGUGGAUGAUGUGGAUUAAUUCGAUGCAACGCGAAAAACCUUACCUA